rnacentral:rRNA from 1 species
CUCCUACGGGGGGCAGCAGUGGGGAAUAUUGCACAAUGGGGGAAACCCUGAUGCAGCGACGCCGCGUGAGUGAAGAAGCGCCUCGGCGCGUAAAGCUCUGUCAGCAGGAACGAUAAUGACGGUACCUGAAGAAGAAGCCCCGGCUAACUACGUGCCAGCAGCCGCGGUAAUACGUAGGGGGCAAGCGUUAUCCGGAUUUACUGGGUGUAAAGGGAGCGUAGACGGCGAUGCAAGCCAGAUGUGAAAGCCCGGGGCUCAGCCCCGGGACUGCAUUUGGAACUGUGUGGCUGGAGUGUCGGGGAGGG